rnacentral:rRNA from 1 species
AGUGAACGCUGGCGGUAGGCCUAACACAUGCCAGUCGAACGGCAGCACAGUAAGAGCUUGCUCUUACGGGUGGCGAGUGGCGGACGGGUGAGGAAUACAUCGGAAUCUACUUUUUCGUGGGGGAUAACGUAGGGAAACUUACGCUAAUACCGCAUACGACCUACGGGUGAAAGCAGGGGAUCUUCGGACCUUGCGCGAUUGAAUGAGCCGAUGUCGGAUUAGCUAGUUGGCGGGGUAAAGGCCCACCAAGGCGACGAUCCGUAGCUGGUCUGAGAGGAUGAUCAGCCACACUGGAACUGAGACACGGGCCAGACUCCUACGGGAGGCAGCAGUGGGGAAUAUUGGACAAUGGGCGCAAGCCUGAUCCAGCCAUACCGCGUGGGUGAAGAAGGCCUUCGGGUUGUAAAGCCCUUUUGUUGGGAAAGAAAAGCAGCAGGUUAAUACCCCGCUGUUCUGACGGUACCCAAAGAAUAAGCACCGGCUAACUUCGUG